GCGGGUGUAGUUUAGUGGUAAAACCUCAGCCUUCCAAGCUGAUGAUGAGGGUUCGAUUCCCUUCAUCCGCUCCA
rnacentral:tRNA from 1 species